rnacentral:tRNA from 1 species
GGCCUGUGGCUCAGCGGUAAAGCACUCCUCUUGCAUGUGUGAGGCCCUGGGUUCAAUCCUCAGCACCA